rnacentral:lncRNA from 1 species
GAUUUGGUUUCCAUACAUUAACCCACAUUCUGAGAGCAACAGCUCUUCCUGAAAUAUGUCAAGGCCAACCACAUGGCUAAUCAGUGAUAAAGAACGACUUAUACUCCUUAAGUCUGCUUUUAUGGACUACUAUCGGGGCACAAAGAUUGAAGAACCAUGGCCAGACUUAUGUGAAAGACUGACUUCAGUUAUGAGCGACAUCAGUUCUACCACUAUUAGAGGACCACCUAAGAGAAGAGACAUCCCUAUUCUGCUUGGGAAUGGGCACAUAGCCUGGAGAUCUGGAAGCUGUUAUUGGCUUCUGAGGAGUUAG